rnacentral:rRNA from 1 species
GAUGGACGCUGGCGGCGUGCCUAAUACAUGCAAGUCGAGCGAACAGACGAGGAGCUUGCUCCUCUGACGUUAGCGGCGGACGGGUGAGUAACACGUGGAUAACCUACCUAUAAGACUGGGUUAACUUCGGGAAACCGGAGCUAAUACCGGAUAAUAUAUUGAACCGCAUGGUUCAAUAGUGAAAGACGGUUUUGCUGUCACUUAUAGAUGGAUCCGCGCCGCAUUAGCUAGUUGGUAAGGUAACGGCUUACCAAGGCAACGAUGCGUAGCCGACCUGAGAGGGUGAUCGGCCACACUGGAACUGAGACACGGUCCAGACUCCUACGGGAGGCAGCAGUAGGGAAUCUUCCGCAAUGGGCGAAAGCCUGACGGAGCAACGCCGCGUGAGUGAUGAAGGUCUUCGGAUCGUAAAACUCUGUUAUUAGGGAAGAACAAAUGUGUAAGUAACUAUGCACGUCUUGACGGUACCUAAUCAGAAAGCCACGGCUAACUACGUG